rnacentral:rRNA from 1 species
ACUUAAAUUGAAGAGUUUGAUCAUGGCUCAGAUUACACGCUGGCGGCACGCCAAACACAUGCAAGUCGAGCGGUAGCACAGACAGCUUGCUCUCGGGUUACGAGCGGCGGACGG